AAGGAGGGAGAAGAAAGGAGGCCUCAAGCUAAGCAAGAGGGUGUUGAUGUUUUAGCCCAACAACAGAGUUUUGCCUUUUUGGGGCACUCCCGAACAACUGAUUUCCAGCUCACGUCAAGAUGCCAAGUCUGAAAGGCAAGUAUUUUGGGAGAGGGUAAUUUGUUCAACUGCAUUGAAUGUGCUGCUUUCGAAAUGAAAACCAGAUCACAAAAUAUUUGAUACAAUGCAAGGGCUACAUAGAGGGGUGCUGUAAUGCUCUGGGAGAACACUACAAGGCAUGGUGCUGUGGAGGUGCCAUGGCUUUUGCACCUGAUUCCCCCUGCUUUUUGCCUUGCACAGCAGACAGCAGGAUAUCAAACACACACACACACACACACACACACACACAGACAUCCGCACAUUAUAGGGCAACCAAUCCUAACUCUCUGACAAAUACAUCCAUAUGAGAGGUAUGUAUGCGACAUGUUUGUUACAUUUACAUCUCAGGCGUGAACCUACAAAACAACGGGCAUGAUCCAACCAAACUGAAGCAGUAAUACUGAGUUCAAUGGAAGAACUAGCCACCUGCUUCAGUCUCUCCCAUUGAAGUCAAAACACUUGGAGCUGCUUUCCUUUCGGUGGAUUGUGUGUGAAGCAAGCAAAACUAAGAGUAAUAUUUGGUGCACACAAUCAUCUGGAACAGCCUUCCCCAACCAGGUACCCUCCAGAUAUUUUGGACUCCAACUUCUGUCAUAGAAUUGUAGAGCUGGAAGGGAUCAUCCUCAAUCCUAGGCUGUGCUAGCUGGGGUAGAUGGGACUUUUAGUUGAGAACGUUAGGAGGACAUCAGGUUUGGGAAGGCUGUUCCGGGCAAACACCAUAGCCAUGCUAGGUCAUCUUGCAGGUGGGACUACAGAUGUGAUUAUUAACUAGAUCAAAGAUAAAUUAUAAUCAUAUAAUUGUACAUAAAGACACAGCGCUCCUUUUGAGUUACUGUACUAAAGAAAGGUACUGUGAUGAAACAGUGACACUUUCUGAAACACAUUUACAGUAUUAUCCUACUUGAUUGACAUCAAUGGAGAUUGCUAACCAUAAAAUAAAAUGUUAUAUUGUUUUCAGGAUUCUGCAUUCCACAAGAGACAGGAAAAACAACAACAUGGCAGAAUUCAUCCAUUGACUUUUAGGUUCUAUUAGCAAUACCAGACUAGUUAUUGCGGUAUGUGGUUUGGCCUGACAAUGCCAACACAGUAUCUAGUUUGGUUUCAAUAAUGCCCACAGUGUGCCACUGAUACUGCAAAUGGCUGUGUCCUUCCCACUCAUGUCAGUUGAACUUGCCUUGUGUUGCGAUGUCACAGUGUUCCACAUUCCUGGCUCCUACUCGGCAUCAUUAACUGCCAAUGGCAGUAAAAUGUGGAAUGUUAUAACAUCACAAUAUGAUGGAAGUUCUACUAGGUAGUGCAGAGGAGGAGGGAUUAGUUGCAAUGGUGGCAUUCUUGAGUUGUAGCCAUGCAUUUACCCAGAAUGUCUAAUUUGGUCCACGGUACAUACAAUUAUUUUAAUUCUUACAAAUCUAAUUUUCCAUGAGGUCCCGUCUCCUCCUGUCUUAUGCCAUGCUAUACUUAUUUUUUUAAAAAAAGUGUGUGAACAGAUAUUUAACCUGCUGACUGUAAGAAUAAAAUGUGUCUAAAUUCCUCAUAUUCUGAAAACAGGAAUUAUUUCUCUCUCACCCCACAGCAAAACAUGAAAAAUAAAAAUAUGGCAAAAAUUACACAAGACCUUCCCCCAUUCUCUUUGAAACUUAAGCCUGGGAGACUGUGUCACGUGUUAGUGUUUUCCCCCUUUCUCUUAUUGUAUGCAGGUGAUGAGUACAAAUCUUUGAGUUGAAGUAGAUGAAUGGAGCAAUACAAAGUCUCAUAAUUGCUUUAGGGGAGGGCGGAAGGGAACAGGAAAUGUAUUAAAAUACUCACUUUGACGAAUCUAUGAAGUAUAUUACAAGAGCACCAAUACUAAGAGCGAAGACUAAGACAACCUGCAAAAGUGAAGAAGAAGAAAAUGCAAUCACUUUACGGGCUACAGCUGAGGCAUUCAUUAUUCAAACAAACAGGAAUGAGAAAACAGUGCAAAAAAUUUCAUGGUUCCAUUUUAAUUGCCUUAUGCUUUACCAGAAAUAUGAAUCAUGCUUGCAGCGCUUGACAAAACUAGGGACAAUGCUGGAAAUGUAUACAACCAGAGCUUGCCAAAGAUAUCUGUGGGCCUGAGGAAGAAAAUCCAGGUGGCAUCCACUGGUGGUAAUAUAGUAAUAAACACGAUAAUGGACAAUUUACUGUCCUUUAAUGGUGUCCUAACAUCUGCAACCUAAGGCAGUCUACCACGCCCUAAUAUGAAUCAUACAGACAUCCCUUAUGUAGAUGUUCAUGUGCUUUGGGGAUUUGUUCAAGGCCGUAUUUUCUCAGGAAGUGAAGCCUUUUAGUCCCUGGGGUAUGGCGCUCUCAGAAAUAUGACCACAACUGCAGAACACACUUUUCACUAAGACCUGUCAAAGCACCUCGCUGCUCUGUUUAAUCCACCUUGGGAAAACCUCUUUGUUGACAAGAGGACGUUUAAACAUUUUGAAAGAGGAUUCCCAAGUAGGGCUUGUAUGCUAUUUUGUGGCCUAUUGGAUUAUGGGCAGAACACAACAGGGUAUGACAGGUUGCGGGUGGAACCUUGAGGGGGA
rnacentral:lncRNA from 1 species